UCCUCGUUGACCGAGGCAGUCUCGUCUGAAAAAUCCAACAGACGACGGGGGUUGCGCUCGUUGCGGGACUUAACCCAACAUCUCACGACACGAGCUGACGACGACCAUGCAGCACCUGUCUAGCACCCUCGAAGGAGGUCUGGUUUCCCAGACUGUGCAGCUAGAUGUCAAACCCUGGUAAGGUUCUUCGCUUAGCGUCGAAUUAAACCACACGCUCCACCGCUUGUGCGGGUCCCCGUCAAUUCUUUUGAGUUUUAGCCUUGCGGCCGUACUCCCCAGGCGGGGUGCUUAACGCGUUAGCUUCGACACCCAGGGGGUCUAAUCCCCGAAUGCCUAGCACCCAUCGUUUACGGCGUGGACUAC
rnacentral:misc_RNA from 1 species